GACGAACUGUCCUAACGUUGUUCGGAAUCACUGGGCUUAAAGGGCGCGUAGGCGGUCGACCAAGUCAGGGUGAAAUCCUGCAGCUUAACUGAGAAGUGCCUUUGAUACUGGUCGUCUGGAGGAGAUAGGGUGGUGUGGAACUUCCAGUGGAGCGGUGAAAUGCGUGAUAUUGGAAGGAACGCCGGAGCGAAGCGACGCACUGGAUCUCUACUGACGCUGAGGCGCGAAAGCUAGGGGAGCAAACGGG
rnacentral:rRNA from 1 species